UUACUGGAAAAUUCUUAUGUAAGUGUUAACAGGUCAGGUGAAAUCCUACAUACUGUACACUUCUGCUUAGCACCAUUCUAACAGGAAUAAGGCAACAUCAGUGGACCACAAUGGGAUUUUCUUCAAUGUGAAGCACUUUUGUUUGGUCAGUGUAAAUGGUUCCUACCAGACAAAUGCCACAGGCACAGAAGAGAUGUGCAACUGAGCCUGCUGUACCAUAUUUCCAUUACCAGCUCCUGAUGGAGAGGCCUGGGUCUAUCUGGUUGUGGAUUUUAAGUGAUGGUUCAACAUUGCAGCAGUGCAGAAAACUAAGAUUUAAGAUUUUUGAAUUAAGAAGAUGAUUUGGACUCCUCAGAAAGUUUAACCCCAAGAGAAUUUGUUAUCUGAGCUGGAAAAAAAGUGCACAGGAACCCACUGCUCUUCUGAACCCACCAACCACCUCCUUACUGCUGAUUUUGCAAGGAUUAACAUGUACUUGCUGCACAUCCACGUGGAAGCAGAAUUUGAACUCCUCUGGGUUUUUGGUGGUCUCUGAAGAAAUGCUUCGUAUUUGUGAAAGUGGGACACCAAAGGAACAAGAAGCAGCAGAAAAUACAGCAAAAAGACUUCAACUAUUUAAUGACAGCUUCAAGACCUGAGCGAGGUUUAAAGGAGCCAGAUGAAUUAGAAGACUGUAAAAGUAUCUCCUCUUUCUCAGAAGCAGGUGAUGGUGUGAAGGAGGUUAUCUGGUGCUGUCAUUAUUGAGAGGGGCAAUAUCUCACUGCAAAAGAGGUGCUGAAGGUAGUGUUUGUCCCUGGGGUAGAAGCAAAGGGAAGGCGUUGGUGUUUGCAGCCUGGUGCUAAGGCACACACACCGCUGACAGGUGCGGUGUGAACGCGACACAUACUUGGAAACAAAAGUGAGACAUUGGUGGAAAGUGAAAAUGGAAAACUUUCCAGAUGCCAGGUGGAAAAUGAUAUUAAAGCUGUCAAAAUAAGUCACAACAAAGACUGGGUUUUCUCUUAGACUAACAGGAGUCAUGUUCUGGAGAAGAAUGGAGGUUUCAGCUACAAGGCAGAGUGUCAUAAAUGAAACAAUUAUGAGCAUUGGAGGUUAAGUUUGAACCUAUUUGUUUGGGGGUUUUAUGUUUUGGUCUCUUUAUUUUUUCUUUUUCUCUUUCAAGUGCACUGCAGAGUUCCUGAUUUACUCUACAGUUGGUGGACAGGUCAAAAAUGUGUAAAUAAAUCCCACUGUCAUUGCUUCACAUAGUUAUCUAUUCUGGGCCUAAUUCCAAGCCCUGUUAAAUUGAUGGCAAUCCUUCCACUGGCAUGGGAGGACUGCAGUUUAGAACCUGUGAUGGUGGUGCAAAGUAACACCAGAGAGGAUGGAUAAACAGCCUCUGCAGUCAUCCAAAGUGAGUCUCUGAAACACAGAAAGGGAAGUAAACCUUGAACUACAUUCAAGGUCAAAUAUGCUUUAUAUAUAUGGUAAUGGAGCUUUUAAAAACGUCAGCUCCACCUAAAUGCAUUAAACAUCUUAAAUAUUAUAAAGGACAUUAUUCAGAUUUAAAUCUGACAAUCUGAACAGAUAACCCAGUAUUUUACUUCUUGAAAAAUAUUAGCUGCACUGUUUAUACUUGGGUGGAAAACCACAAAUCAGAACAAAGUUUGCUGUGUUUCCUUACUGUAGCCAAGGAAAUUUACUCUGCUGAUUAAGGAUUUUACUUGUCCAUGUAUUCACUUUAAUGCAGUGGUAGAUUCUUAUCAACAAUUUAUCUG